CCAGCUGAGGAUGUGGUUUAAGAGAUGGUACUGCUGCCCUUUUUUGUUUGUUUCUAGGCACCAGAAAUGCCAGUUCUGCCCAUUGUGUUUCCUGGAAUGAUGGAGAGCAGCUCUUCUCAGACUCCCUGUGAAAGCCUUCCUGAAGUUCUAACAUCCCUACUUCAUCCAACCCAUUUUUGUUAUGGUGUGGUUUUUCAGGUGCCUCACCUUCCUGGUUUGCCUUUAACACCUUGCCACUCUGGGAAGAGAAUGACUGUGGGUCUUGGGCAAAGCCUAUAGCCUUCAUCAACCUGUUCACUGACCAACUGCACAGCAGUGACAGGGGCAUGGCAGUGGCACAGAGGAAUGGUGGAAGCACAUCCCUGAGACAGCCUCUCUGCAGCCCCAGCUCCAGCAGCCUGCAUCCCAGAUUUAUGGAUGGCACCUGGUUACCUAGGAUCUGCAUGUGCUGCAUGCCUGGGCAAAGCUGGGCUGAGUUAUCUCUUUCAUGCCUUGAGUCAGAUUUUCUGGAUGUGAAGUCAACAGACAAGCCAGGAAAUGUCAGUGCAGAAGAGCAAGGGAGCUCAAGACACGAUGGCAGCUGUCACUCCAGAGUGGUGUGGAGUGGGACGGUAUCUGAUGUGUCCUCGGACUCAGUUUCCCUUGGGAGGUGUUUGGUGCUGACUGCUUGUGAUCCACGUUUUCUUGGAUGCAGGUUGGUUGAGGUGCAGUGAUUUUUG
rnacentral:lncRNA from 1 species